UACGGGGGGUGCAAGCGUUGUCCGGAUUUAUUGGGUUUAAAGGGUGCGCAGGCGGCCAGAUAAGUCAGUGUUAAAAGACCGGGGCUCAACUCCGGGAUUGGCAAUGAUACUGUUUGGCUAGAGUGAUUGCGAGGAAGGCGGAAUUCCUGGUGUAGCGGUGAAAUGCAUAGAUACCAGGAGGAACACCGAUAGCGAAGGCAGCUUUCCAGCAGUUAACUGACGCUCAUGCACGAAAGUGUGGGGAUCAAACAGG
rnacentral:rRNA from 1 species